rnacentral:rRNA from 1 species
AUAUCAAUAAGCGGAGGAAAAGAAACUAACAGAGGAUUCCCCUAGUAACUGCGAGUGAAGCGGGAAAAGCUCAAAUUUAAAAUCUGGCGGUCUCGAUCGUCCGAGUUGUAAUUUAGAGAAGCGUCUUCCGCGCUGACCGUGCACAAGUCUCCUGGAAUGGAGCGUCAUAGAGGGUGAGAAUCCCGUCUUUGGCACGGAUCACCAGGUGCUUCUGUGAUGCGCUCUCGAAGAGUCGAGUUGUUUGGGAAUGCAGCUCAAAAUGGGUGGUGAACUCCAUCUAAAGCUAAAUAUUGGCGAGAGACCGAUAGCGAACAAGUACCGUGAGGGAAAGAUGAAAAGCACUUUGGAAAGAGAGUGAAACAGUAC